rnacentral:rRNA from 1 species
GACGAACGCUGGCGGCGUGCCUAAUACAUGCAAGUCGAACGCAGUGGGGACGGGUGAGUAACACGUGGGUAACCUCCCCUCAGAGGGGAUAACACUUGGAAACAGGUGCUAAACCGAUACUGAUGGAUGAACCCGCGGUGCAUUAGCUAGUUGGUGAUGUAACGGCUCACCAAGGCCACGAUGCAUAGCCGAGCUGGGGGGGUGGUCGUGCACACUGGGGCUGAGACUCGGCCCAGACUCCUACGGGAGGCAGCAGUAGGGAAUCUUCGGCGAUGGACGAAAGUCUGGCCGAGCAACGCCGCGUGGGUGAAGAAGGUUUUCGGAUCGUAACUCUGUUGUUAGAGAAGCGGUAUCUAACCAGAAAGCCACGGCUAACUACGUGCCAGCCGCCGCGGUAAUAC